GGAGGCGUGAGCCUAAGGAAAGUGCAACAGAAAAUAUCCCGCCUUUUUUUUUAAGGUAAGGGUGAAUAGGUGUGGUAAGAGCGCACCGCAUUGGUGGUAACACUCAAUGGCAUUGUAAACACCAUCUAAAGCAAGACCAAAUAGUGCCAAUAUGAUGUUGCUCGCAUCGUGGCAGGGUAGGUCGCUUGAGCUUAUUGGUGACAAUAGGACUAGAUAAAUGCCUGUCUAUUACAGAACCCGGCUUAUAGACUGGCUUUGUAU
rnacentral:RNase_P_RNA from 1 species